rnacentral:rRNA from 1 species
GACGAACGCUGGCGGCGUGCUUAACACAUGCAAGUCGAACGGAAAGGCCCUGCUUUUGUGGGGUGCUCGAGUGGCGAACGGGUGAGUAACACGUGAGUAACCUGCCCUUGACUUUGGGAUAACUUCAGGAAACUGGGGCUAAUACCGGAUAGGAGCUCCUGCUGCAUGGUGGGGGUUGGAAAGUUUCGGCGGUUGGGGAUGGACUCGCGGCUUAUCAGCUUGUUGGUGGGGUAGUGGCUUACCAAGGCUUUGACGGGUAGCCGGCCUGAGAGGGUGACCGGCCACAUUGGGACUGAGAUACGGCCCAGACUCCUACGGGAGGCAGCAGUGGGGAAUAUUGCACAAUGGGCGGAAGCCUGAUGCAGCAACGCCGCGUGCGGGAUGAAGGCCUUAGGGUUGUAAACCGCGUUCGCCUGUGACGAAGCGUGAGUGACGGUAAUGGGUAAAGAAGCACCGGCUAACUACGUG